AGAAACAUUAUUGGAUGAAACAUUAAAAAACUUUGAGGCCAAAACCCACAAAACCUCAUUUCGUCACCACCAAUGUAAUAAAAAAAAUAAGAAGAUGAUACUAAAGCAAAAGGAAGCUCAUAAGAAAGAGAAGACAGACUGUACAAAGUACGGAAAAUUAUUAGAAAAAACAUGAAAAACUCUCAAAUAUAAACAAAGGACAGUGGUAAUGGCGGACG
rnacentral:lncRNA from 1 species